UACGGAGGGUGCGAGCGUUGUCCGGAAUCACUGGGCGUAAAGGGCGCGUAGGUGGCCCGUGGAAGUCUGCGGUGAAAGCCCGGCGCUCAACGCCGGGUCGGCCGUGGAUACUCUCGGGCUUGAGCUUACUAGAGGCAGAUGGAAUUCCUGGUGUAGCGGUGGAAUGCGCAGAUAUCAGGAGGAACACCGGUGGCGAAGGCGGAUCUCUGGGCCUGUUCUGACGCUGAGGCGCGAAAGCUAGGGGAGCGAACAGG
rnacentral:rRNA from 1 species